rnacentral:lncRNA from 1 species
CCGCCUCAAGGAAACGCUCCGUGAUCGCUCUCUCUAAAAUAGCACCCCCUGAAUUUGAUUCUGCUCUUCUCACCCUGUUUUUCUCCCCAGAGCUUUUGUCAUUACGUGGCAUGAUGCCACCUAGCAGAUGACUUACUGAUGGUCUGUCUCCCCUAAUAAAACGCCAGCUCCGUGAAUGCGGGGACUUCUGCCUGUCUUGUUCGCUGGUGGGUCCUCGUGCCUGGAACAGAGCCUGGCGUGGUAGAUGCUCCGUAAAGCGCAGUGGAUGUGGGGCUGAUGGAAGCUCGGUUGUGGACGAGAGGAACGAUGAGCUUUCAACUUUCGGCACCGUCUAGAAGUCGUUUUUGAUUAGAAGUUGACCUCAGAAGUAUGCGCGCAUCAUUUUGAAAACAUCUGCCGGC